UACGGAGGUCCCAAGCGUUGUUCGGAUUCAUUGGGCGUAAAGGGUGCGUAGGUGGCGCUGUAAGUCGGGUGUGAAAUUUCGGAGCUUAACUCCGAAACUGCAUUCGAUACUGCGGUGCUUGAGGACUGGAGAGGAGACUGGAAUUCAUGGUGUAGCAGUGAAAUGCGUAGAGAUCAUGAGGAAGACCAGUGGCGAAGGCGGGUCUCUGGACAGUUCCUGACACUGAGGCACGAAGGCCAGGGGAGCAAACGGG
rnacentral:rRNA from 1 species